GCUGGCUGGCGGGCUACUUUUGUGUGUGAGAGUGAUCAUUUAGUUUUGGGAAACCUGGAGAAGUUGACGGUUUAUGUGUUGCUUACUAAACAGGUGUUCCGGCUUACAGCAGGGAUUAAUGCGGGACGACGUUUCAUGGAAUGUACAGAAAGAGAUUUGCGUGGGAGAAUGAGGAGGGAGUUUUUGCCUGGGGGAGGAGAGAAAGGCGGGAGGAGACGAGCGAGGGUUCCAGUGUCCUCGCAUUCAAAUGUUUGUAAGGAAACGAAAGCAAGCAAGCUCAAGGAGCACACGAUGUCUACAGUCUGUCAUUUUUCCAUCAGAUACGACCAUCAUGCCGCUUCCCUGAAGGGCCGGGACCGGGAUCACUUUCAAACGGAUACGUCAUCACAUACCAAGAUCUCAGACGACGCAAUCGACGUCUUGUCUCGUCAAAAACUUUAAGCAGUAGUUUGAGGUGAACUCAUCAUUGUUUGUCGUCUCGCACCAGAUCCAUCUUUCACAGCAAUCCCCUCGGCCACCUCACACCGCAUCCCCCGGGGUCCAUGCCACACCAAAGCGCUGUCCUGUUCCAUCUUUGUUUCUGCCGGUGCUGCUUCUCGAAACACAAAGCUAAGUAACCGACGGUGAUCUUGUUACGCUAAAAAGCAAUAAUUGGCCACAGGACGUCGGCUGGCUGUGGAUGUUUCUCGGUACUCUCUAGUAUCCAUCGUGCUGCACUUGGGGGGAGACAUACGUAUACAGCAACGUAUAGUGUAAUUGCCGUGGAAGUCCUCGUUGAUUGAUUGAGUCCCUCGCUCACGACGGAACGGGAAAGUCCCAUUCAAGGAAAGCGACUGUAAAGACAUGUGGGUACUCCUGCGGACCUCCACUUUAUGCUGCUUCUUUUCCCAGUCGGGAAGGCGAGCGUGUUUCUUUGUUUUCUCAAGUCCGUGCAAAUAUAUUCUCUAGAAUCU